GACGAACGCUUGCGGCGUGCUUAACACAUGCAAGUCGAACGGAAAGGCCCUGCUUUUGUGGGGUGCUCGAGUGGCGAACGGGUGAGUAACACGUGAGUAACCUGCCCUUGACUUUGGGAUAACUUCAGGAAACUGGGGCUAAUACCGGAUAGGAGCUCCUGCUGCAUGGUGGGGGUUGGAAAGUUUCGGCGGUUGGGGAUGGACUCGCGGCUUAUCAGCUUGUUGGUGGGGUAGUGGCUUACCAAGGCUUUGACGGGUAGCCGGCCUGAGAGGGUGACCGGCCACAUUGGGACUGAGAUACGGCCCAGACUCCUACGGGAGGCAGCAGUGGGGAAUAUUGCACAAUGGGCGGAAGCCUGAUGCAGCAACGCCGCGUGCGGGAUGACGGCCUUCGGGUUGUAAACCGCUUUCGCCUGUGACGAAGCGUGAGUGACGGUAAUGGGUAAAGAAGCACCGGCUAACUACGUGCCAGCAGCCGCGGUGAUACGUAGGGUGCGAGCGUUGUCCGGAUUUAUUGGGCGUAAAGGGCUCGUAGGUGGUUGAUCGCGUCGGAAGUGUAAUCUUGGGGCUUAACCCUGAGCGUGCUUUCGAUACGGGUUGACUUGAGGAAGGUAGGGGAGAAUGGAAUUCCUGGUGGAGCGGUGGAAUGCGCAGAUAUCAGGAGGAACACCAGUGGCGAAGGCGGUUCUCUGGGCCUUUCCUGACGCUGAGGAGCGAAAGCGUGGGGAGCGAACAGGCUUAGAUACCCUGGUAGUCCACGCUGUAAACGGUGGGUACUAGGUGUGGGGUCCAUUCCACGGGUUCCGUGCCGUAGCUAACGCUUUAAGUACCCCGCCUGGGGAGUACGGCCGCAAGGCUAAAACUCAAAGGAAUUGACGGGGCCCCGCACAAGCGGCGGAGCAUGCGGAUUAAUUCGAUGCAACGCGUAGAACCUUACCUGGGUUUGACAUGGAUCGGGAGUACUCAGAGAUGGGUGUGCCUCUUUUGGGGUCGGUUCACAGGUGGUGCAUGCCUGUCGUCAGCUCGUGUCGUGAGAUGUUGGGUUAAGUCCCGCAACGAGCGCAACCCUUGUUCACUGUUGCCAGCACGUUAUGGUGGGGACUCAGUGGAGACCGCCGGGGUCAACUCGGAGGAAGGUGGGGAUGACGUCAAGUCAUCAUGCCCCUUAUGUCCAGGGCUUCACGCAUGCUACAAUGGCUGGUACAGAGAGUGGCGAGCCUGUGAGGGUGAGCGAAUCUCGGAAAGCCGGUCUCAGUUCGGAUUGGGGUCUGCAACUCGACCUCAUGAAGUCGGAGUCGCUAGUAAUCGCAGAUCAGCAACGCUGCGGUGAAUACGUUCCCGGGACU
rnacentral:rRNA from 1 species